AGACUAACACACUUGAAACAAAUAGCCAAACCGAAAAUUGCAGACAUUAUUAGUGCCUCCCCGGCGAUCAAACCGACAUGAUAAAAUAAAAUGAAACGCAGUUUAAAACGUGAUCAGAAAUCUCAAAUAGCAAGCAAGUCGCAGCAAUGAAGAAUUGAGUGCGUGCGCGUUCAAGCAAGUCGCAGCAAUGAAAAAGUAAGUGCGUGCGCGUUCACGCGAAGGAGGGGGAGUGAAUUCUGGCAGUGGGGAGCUUUUCGGCACAGCACCGGUAUUGGCAACGUCAUACCGAAGAGGAAAAUCAGGUGAGUUUUUUUAGGAUUGGACAGUUAACGUUUGCAUGUUGAUUGAGUCUUAGUUAUUAGCGAGUUCUAUGAAGAUGUCGUGCAAAAAAAAAUAAUUAUAUUAAAACCAUGAAAUAGUACAACCGGUCCUAUUUUUUUUUGUAACAAACUUCUGUAUGUCAAUCCAAAGAAUUCUGUUUUGGAAUUAAUUAAUUAAUAUUCUUUCAGGGUUAUUUAAAUUUUAUCAAGGAAUUCCCCAUAUGAGAGUAGAUAUCCAUCCUCAUUCAGUAACUGACCAACCAAAAAAUUUUAUUCUCAAACCAGUUACGAAAAAAAAUAACAUCUUAGCUAAAAUUGCCGGCUUAUGGAAUUUGGCCAACUUUACUGUGAUUUUAUCAACAUCAAAAUUACAUUGAAGCAAACAUUCUAAACCACCACCAGAGUCAAAUAAAUACUUAGCGAAGACAUUUCAAAUACUGCUCUUGUUCUUUAACAUACUUCAGAAUCCAAUUUAUUUUUAAAAGUAUAAUUUAGAGUAUUGAAAUCUAAAACCUCAAGACCUCCUUGUUCUUGGAUAUUAGUGAGAAUAUCUUUUCGUAGAUAGUGAGGCUUGUUCCUCAGAAAAUGAUAAAGAAUCUUAUCUAAGUCCUUUAUAAUUUUAGGGGGUAAGUCAAGUGAUAACGAGACAUAAACCGAUCUGGAUAACCCUUCAGCUUUGGAUAAUAAAACCCGACCGUAUUACGAAAUAUCUCUCAUCAACCAGAGGUUCAAUUUUUUUCUUUGUUUUCUCAUAAGUAACCUUAUCUUUAAUUGGGAUGCCAUAAACUUCCUGUAAAACACAAUCAUUGAGUGGAAAUAAGACUGACUUAUUGAUAUUAAUUUUCAAACCCGAAACUAAGGAAAAGUCUUCAAUACAGGAAACUGCUUUAGAAACCUCAUUCCUGUCUCUUAAAAAUAUGGUGGUAUCAUCAGCCAGUUGACAUAGUUUAAAUUCAUUGCAAAGUGCUGAAACACAUUGAAAAUCCCCUUUCUUGAUAUGAAGAGCCAUAAUUUGAGUAACAAAUAAAAAUGGUCUAAUUGGGCAGCCCUGCCUAAUUCCACGGCCAAUAUCAAAUCUAUGGGAUGUCCCGUGAGAUAAUUUUACAGAGCUAGUACAACCACUAUAUCAAGUUUGGACUGCUUUCAAAAAUAAGUCACCAAACCCCAAAUUACAUAUUGCUUUGAACAUAAACUCAUGUUCUACAGUGUCAAAAGCUUUAUAAAAAUCAACAAACAUAAGAAAACUAUCAUCAAGAAUGAGGUCAUUAUAGUCGAUCAUAUCUAUGAUCAACCUGAUGUUAUUACUAAUGUGUCGACCAUGCAUAAAACCAGAUUCUUCUUCAUCAAUUAUAUGAUGCAAGCCUUGUUUCAACCUCUUAGCAAAUACAAGGGCAAAUAAUUUCCCAUCAUUAUUUAACAGGCUAAUGGGUCUCCAGUUGUCUAUGUAAAGAGUAUUCUUAUUAGGUUUGGGAAUCAAAGUAAUUACACCUUUCUUUAAGGAAGCCGGUAACUCCCCUUUUUCUAUUUAAUCUUGAAACAUAGCAAUGAAAGGAAUCAAUUUAUCAUUGAAUGCUUUAUUAAACUCGCUUAUUAAACCAUAAUUUCCAGGGGACCUAUUGUCCUUAAGGCUUUUAAUACAGUCUUUUAUCUCAAUUUCAGAUAACACAUCAUCACAAAAAUCCCUGAAAUCAUUAUCUAUCUUCUUAGCAAUGUUUGCUACAUUGUCUAAGAAAAGAUCCAUAUUGAAAGUUGGCUGGGCUGAUGUAUACAGAUUCUGAUAAAACUGGGCAACAUGCUGAGAUAUUUCUUUUGGAUUUUCAUUGGGAGUAUUAUUAACCAUUAAUGUACAGCAGAAAGUAGUUGGUGCCAUUGGUGUUAACAGUGGUGAUGGGCAUUCCGGCUCUUCUCAGUGAGCCGGCUCAUUCGGUUCAGCUCACCAAAAAAGAGCCGGCUCUUUUGGCUCCCAAACGGCUCUUAAAAUUAUUUUUUUCAAGUCAAACAGUUUGCGAUAGUUUGACUAUGAUUGGUGUUAAAACAAUUUAUUUAAAAAUACAUUGGUUUGUUAUUAAAAAGAAUGCUAUUAAACAUUUGCAUUUAAAGUAUAACGUUUUAAUGUUUAUAAACAAAGUGCAUAUAAAUCUAACCUAUUUAAACAAAUACAAUCUGAGCAGCAUAAUAGAAUAUUGCACCAUAUCAAAGAAAAAUAAAUAACAAUUUGCAAAACUGCAGCAUCCCACAAAUUUUAAUAAAUGUAAAAAAGAAGGAUGCUAUUACACAUGGGUAUUUAAAGUAUAACUUUUGAAUGUAUAUAAACAAAGUGCAUAUAAAUGUAAUAAUUCAAAACUAAUACCAUCUGAACAACAUAAUAAAAUAAUAUUGCACCAUAUCAAAGAAAAAUAAAUAACAAUGUGCAAAACUGCAGCAUCCCACUUAAAACAUUAAACUGGUCUUUUCUCUCUGUUCUUUUUUGCCAUGUUAUAACCAGCAGCAUACAGCAACGGUGAACAUAUUUAGCUUUUAUGAGAGAUUUGUAUUCAGAAAUGCAAGCUGCUUCACAUUUGAGGGCCUGAUGCAGUUUCUUCUCUCAGUAAUUCUUUUUCCCGUUUUCGAGGAGAGCCUCUCAGAGGGAACAGAUGUGACCACUAUGCAGAGCCUCCCUGUCAUGACUUUAGUAAGCCGUGGGUAGACAGAGGCCUUGUUCAACCACCAGCUCAGAGGAUCUGCAGAUCUUUAGAGGAGGGGCUUCUCCAAAUAGGAUCGGACCUCCAUUAUGGCAUCUGCUGAGGGAUUCCUUCGUGCUGCAUACCCAGUUGCUCUCUCGUCAAACAGUAUCUAAACAGCAGACGUUUGUGGCACUACUGCUGGUGCAUCUGCUCCAUCUGAUCCCUCUUCUUCCUGUUGCCCUGGUGCUUGAGCCAGCUGGCUGCUGGGGCUGUCCCUCCCUGCUGCUGAGGUUAUUCUUAGAAGAGCCUCAUCAAUCGCUCUGGCAUCACUGAAGGCUAACUUCUUAAACCUGGAGUGGAAUAAGUGAAAGGGUUUUCUGGCUCGGAAUUGUGUACAUUGGAUUUAGACUAUUGCUAUAAUUUCUAAAACCUCUGUCCUCCACGAUCGAAAAUGGCUUGAAAUCCGUGCCAAUCAUUUUAACCAAUGCAAUAUCAAUUUGGCCUUGUUUUGCUACAGACAUAGACUUUGGCAUAAACUGGUCCAUAGAAGACUGCGUUGCUGUGGGUUGCGGAGUAGGCCUUCUUGACUGAGUGGAUACAUCUCCCACGUGUGGAGGUGCUGGCUCCACCACUAUCACUAGCAGGACUGCUAGUUUCCCGAAGCUCCAUUACAGGUAGCUUCACAGUUGGGUGCACAGUUCACAUAUUUUUAUUUUAUUUAUUUCACCUUUAUUUAACCAGGUAGGCUAGUUGAGAACAAGUUCUCAUUUGCAACUGCGACCUGGCCAAGCUGAAGCAAAGCAGUUUGACACAUACAACAAUGCAGAGUUACACAUGGAAUAAACAAACAUUACAAUCAAUAAUACAGUAGAAAAGGUCUAUAUACAGUGUGUGCAAAUGAGGUAGGAUAAGAGAGAUACGGCAAUAAAUAAGCCAUGGUGGCGAAGUAAUUACAAUAUAGCAAUUAAACACUGGAAUGGUAGAAUGUGCAGAAGAUGAAUGUGCAAGUAGAGAUACUGGGGUGCAAAGGAGCAAGAUAAAUAAACACAAUAUGGGGAUGAUGUAGAUUGGAUGGGCUACUUACAGAUUAGCAAUGUACAGGUGCAGUGGUCUGUGAGCUGCUCUGACAGCUGGUGCUUAAAGCUAGCAAGGGAGGUAAGAGUCUCCAGCUUUAGCGAUUUUUGCAGUUCGUUCCAGUCACAGGCAGCAGAGAACUGUAAGGAGAGGCGGCCAAAGGAAGAAUUGGCUUUGGGGGUGACCAGUGAGAUAUACAUGCUGGAGCGUGUGCUACGGGUGGGUACUGCUAUGGUGACCAGUGAGCUGAGAUAAGGCGGGGAUUUACCUAGUAGAGACUUGUAGAUGACCUGGAGCCAGUGGGUUUGGCGAUGAGUAUGAAGCGAUGGCCAGCCAACGAUAGCGUACAGGUCGCAGUGGUGGGUAGUAUAUGGGGCUUUGGUGACAAAACAGAUGGCACUGUGAUAGACUGCAUCCAAUUUGUUGAGUGGAGUGUUGGAGGAAAUUUUGUAAAUGACAUCGCCGAAGUCAAGGAUCGGUAGGAUGGUCAGUUUUACGAGAGUAUGUUUGGCACCAUUAGUGAAGGAUGCUUUGUUGCGAAAUAGGAAGCCGAUUCUAGAUUUAAUUUUGAAUUGUAGAUGGGCAAUUUGACUGACUAGUGGACAUUGAGGAGCUUCCUGAGAAAGCUGUCCUAGAGGUAAUCAGAUCCGAAAGUAAUGCUGGAACUGUAAACAGAGAUACUGGCCCAUACCAGAGAGUCUCCAGAGCGCCCAGAGAAGUGGCCGGAUGGCUUUCUGGUGCCAUCUUUUUCUUAUGAUAUUGAGCACCUGCUUAGAUAGGGAAAUACUUGUUAUGAGAACUCGAAAGAGCCCAGAAGCAUGGCGUUCUUGAGAACAUACUGUAGCUAAAGCGAAACACCGUUUCAAGGCCUAUCCGAGUGGGGGAGAAAUAGGCAAGGCUGCCUAAGUGCUUGUUACCAAGCACCCAUGUCUCAAAGAAGCAGGGAGUCGUUCUGGAUGGUAUGCAUGGAUGACAAGUCAGAAGCUCAAGAUGGGGAACUAUCGGACCAAGUUGAGCAGAGCUGGAGUUCCUGAGGUCUCUGUGGAUACAGUGAAGAGGAGCAUAAACAACCCAGAGAUAGAGUCACUCCACUCAAACAUCAAGAGACCAAGACGAGGUGAGGUAAACUUCCUGCCAUACUUCCCAAGAGGGAAAGACCCAGAGUCUCUUAAGCAGCUGAAACAGCAAAUUAUCAACAAAGUUUCAAAGACAGAGAGAAAUCUAACAUUAAUAGACAAAUCAGGGCAGACAAAAUGAGAUCAUUCUGAAGAGCCGAUUUUACGGCGAACUAGACAGACACACUCCCCCGACUGAUUGCCUUGUUCAGGCAGAGGGCAGCACUGACAUGCCAUGCAGCAGAGGCUAUGAGAAGUGUCUUAAGGAUCUAUGAUCUCCAGGAAGGAGCAACUUGACAUGAACACCAGGCUCACUGCUGCCCUUUGUGGUCUCCCCAUCUACCUUUGUGAGGAAAGCACUGGAAUGUGGAGGAAACUGAAGAGCCAGACAUUACAGACACACCUGUCGCUCUCCUCACAGUCGUGAGCGAGAGCUAAGCUGAUCAUGUCCAGUUCAACUCAGCAAGGAUUGCUGUUGUGCUAGCUAGAAGGUGACAUUGUAAUGAAUGAUGUCCCCAGGUCGGCUGAUGCAAUUAUGUUGUUAUUUGGUUUGAUUUCUGAGUUAUCCCAAGCAUCUGAUCCACACUUUUGACUUAAUAAAAAAAGUCUGAUGGGCUUGGAUAAUGGGAAAAUGCUUAAGCCCAAGCUUUUGUCUCUGAAAAAAGACCGAUUGAAGCAAGAUUAAUGAUGUAUGGGUAUUUGCAUUUACAGAUAUUUACCAUCACUGAGGUUGUCUCAGACUCAUGCCCUUACAUGGCUGCAAGGCCUUUCUCGUAGAUACAUCUUUAAUGUGUGGCUCCACAUUGUCUCAUCAUUGUCUCCACUUUUAUCUCCCUCACCAACCUCAAACAUGUGCUAUCUGAGCAGCUAACCGAUCGCUGCAGCUGUACAUAGUCUAUUGGUAAAUAGCCCACCCAUUUUCACCUACCUCAUCCCCAUACUGUUUUUAUUUAUUUACUUUUCUGCUCUUUUGCACACCAAUAUCUCUACCUGUACAUGACCAUCUGAUCAUUUAUCACUCCAGUGCUAAUCUGCAAAAUUGUAAUUAUUCGCCUACCUCCUCAUGCCUUUUGCACACAAUGUAUAUAGACUCCCCCUUUUUUGUACUGUGUUAUUGACUUGUUAAUUGUUUACUCCAUGUGUAACUCUGUGUUGUCUGUUCACACUGCUAAGCUUUAUCUUGGCCAGGUCGCAGUUGCAAAUGAGAACUUGUUCUCAACUAGCCUACCUGGUUAAA